rnacentral:lncRNA from 1 species
AUAUCUUUUCUUGUAUUUGGACGUGUACUGUAGAAUUCAAAUCUUUGCAUGGCCACCAAUACAUAUUGUAAGUUUGGUAUUAUAAACAAAUUAUAAGAGAAGUAUAGAGUGCUUAUAAGAGAAUUCCAUUCACAGAUAUCAACCAAAAUUAUGCUGAGGCCAUCAACACUUGGCCCCAAGCUUGGAAUUCAUGAAUAAUAUGGGUUUUCCACUUUUGGCGAGCUAAAGCACAAUAGCAAUUUACGGUGGAAUCAGUUCUUGAGCCGAACUAUACACUACGGGGUCGGGAGCAACAUCAGGAAACCGGCAACAAAUGGUUAGGCCUCCAGCUAUACAAAACUUGAUUGUGCAAGCACUUUACGAUUCACAGAACAACUCCAUAGCUAUACCAGCAGCUAAUUGUUCAAUCUUCAUGGUACCUGCAGAGAUUACAAAAGGAACAUUUCAGGCAUCUAGAUUCAAGAUUAACAUAAGCCCCUUCGCCAUGGCAUCAGAUGCUAUAUGUGAUUGGCAUAUGGUGAAAAUGUCAACAAGGUUAUGUGAUCUAAAGAAAAAUUUACCUGCCACCACACAGUCUCGACAAUCCGAGAAAAUAUCCAAGAUUCAAUCUUCUCUAAUGCAGCCAAAAGUGUACCAGUUUCCUGCCAAUCAUCUAGUAUCUGUAUUGCAGCAAGCUUGGUUUGCUUGCCAUUGCAGCUGUUGUUCUGGAGCAUUGGCAUGGAUUUCCCAUCAAACCAUUUUGCACUGUAAUUUCAGAAGAAGAAGAAUGUUGGAUAGACUCGAGCAUACCGGACGAGUUGGACAUGU